rnacentral:rRNA from 1 species
CAUUAUCGAACACACAUACAGAAAGAAGGAUUGACGAACGGACUGUUGCUGGCCUUUUUGGCAUGUGCACGUCUUAGUAAUUUUAUCCUUUUUUUUCGUUCUUAUUCACACACCUUGUGCACACCUUGUAGGCCCUCGAAAGAGGAUCUAUGUCAUUUCACACACACAAUAUAAUUCACAUGGCAUGUAAUCAAAUCAAUUUUACAACUUUCAGCGAUGGAUCUCUUGGCUCUCGCAUCGAUGAAGAACGCAGCGAAUUGCGAUAAGUAAUGUGAAUUGCAGAUUUUCAGUGAAUCAUCGAAUCUUUGAACGCACCUUGCGCUCCUUGGUAUUCCGAGGAGCAUGCCUGUUUGAGUGUCAUUGAAUUCUCAAUCAUGUCUUGAUAUCGAUCUCGAGGCAUGGAUUGGAGUUGGGGGUUGCUGGUGAUUUCUUGUGCUUUCGUCAGCUCUCCUUAAAUGCAUUAGCGAUGGUCUUUGACAUGUAUAGCCGAAUUUCCGACGUGAUAUGCUCUCGUGUCGUGGGCUGGACGUUGUCAGUGUUAGACUUGCAUCGCUUCCAAUCUUAGACUUUUUUGGUCCUUCGAGCAGCCCUUUAAAGCUCUCAAAGCAGAGUAACCUAGUUAUUAGUUGGUCGCAAGGCCAGCGAACACAGGGGGGAAGGUUUCGAAGGAUCACAUCAUGAAUGCUCGACCU